rnacentral:rRNA from 1 species
AUUGAACGCUGGCGGCAUGCCUUACACAUGCAAGUCGAACGGCAGCACGGGAGCAAUCCUGGUGGCGAGUGGCGAACGGGUGAGUAAUAUAUCGGAACGUGCCCGGUCGUGGGGAUAACGUAGCGAAAGCUACGCUAAUACCGCAUACGAUCUACGGAUGAAAGCGGGGGAUCGCAAGACCUCGCGCGAUUGGAGCGGCCGAUAUCAGAUUAGGUAGUUGGUGAGGUAAAGGCUCACCAAGCCGACGAUCUGUAGCUGGUCUGAGAGGACGACCAGCCACACUGGAACUGAGACACGGUCCAGUCUCCUACGGGAGGCAGCAGUGGGGAAUUUUGGACAAUGGACGCAAGUCUGAUCCAGCCAUUCCGCGUGCAGGAUGAAGGCCCUCGGGUUGUAAACUGCUUUUGUACGGAACGAAAAGGUUUCUAUUAAUACUAGGAGNUCAUGACGGUACCGUAAGAAUAAGACACCGGCUAACUACGUGCCAG